UAGAGACAAAAUGGGAAGAGACUGUGAUGAACAGCUGCAGAGCUGCACUCAACACAGCUUCUCUGUAAUAUUUAUGCAAAUCUCCAUCUCCUCUUGUAAUAUUAGCACCGUGCUUAUCUAGAGAGGAAGCGCUUCUCCUUAGUCCUCCUUCAACACAAACAUGUUUGCUUCAGCUCCACUGCUGCUGCUGGCUCUCGCCCCCUAUGUGUUCUGUGCUACUGAGCUCAUCCAGCCAGACUCAGUGCUUAUAAAGCCAGGAGAGACUUUAACCAUCACCUGUAGAGUGUCUGGAGCUUCUAUCACUGAUAGCAGCAGCCACUAUGGAACAGGUUGGAUUCGACACCCUGCAGGAAAAGCUCUGGAAUGGACUGCAUACAUCAAGCAUGAUGGGGCUACAUUUUACAGUGACAAACUGAAAAACAAGUUCAGCAUCUCCAGAGACACUGCUACUAACACAAUAACAAUUCGAGGACAGAAUCUGCAGACUGAAGACACAGCUGUGUAUUACUGCGCAAGAGACUCACAGUGACACAGAAUAGUGGAUUCCCCUUACAAAAACUUUGAGACAUGUUAGAGACAUCCUCUCAAUGCCACUAA